GAUGAACGCUGGCGGCGUGCUUAACACAUGCAAGUCGAACGGAAAGGCUCCUGCUUGCAGGGGUACUCGAGUGGCGAACGGGUGAGUAACACGUGGGUGAUCUGCCCUGCACUUCGGGAUAAGCCUGGGAAACUGGGUCUAAUACCGGAUAGGACCACAUUUUGGAUGGUGUGGUGGAAAGUUUUUCGGUGUGGGAUGGGCUCGCGGCCUAUCAGCUUGUUGGUGGGGUAAUGGCCUACCAAGGCGUCGACGGGUAGCCGGCCUGAGAGGGUGUACGGCCACAUUGGGACUGGGAUACGGCCCAGACUCCUACGGGAGGCAGCAGUGGGGAAUAUUGCACAAUGGGCGCAAGCCUGAUGCAGCGACGCCGCGUGGGGGAUGACGGCCUUCGGGUUGUAAACUACUUUCGCUAGGGACGAAGCGCAAGUGACGGUACCUGGAGAAGAAGCACCGGCUAACUACGUG
rnacentral:rRNA from 1 species